UACAGAGGGGGCGAGCGUUAUUCGGAAUUACUGGGCGUAAAGCGCACGUAGGCGGAUUGGAAAGUUGGGGGUGAAAUCCCGGGGCUCAACCCCGGAACUGCCUUCAAAACUCCCAGUCUGGAGGUCGAGAGAGGUGAGUGGAAUUCCGAGUGUAGAGGUGAAAUUCGUAGAUAUUCGGAGGAACACCAGUGGCGAAGGCGGCUCACUGGCUCGAUACUGACGCUGAGGUGCGAAAGCGUGGGGAGCAAACAGG
rnacentral:rRNA from 1 species